UGCCGAGCAGCGUGGAGGGGAGAUGCCCAUUCUCUUCCACGCCCACGCGGAGCGCCCACCCCAGGCCCCUCGGACCCCGGACCCGCGACCCUCCGACCCGGACUCACCUCUUCCUAGGCCCCGGGCUUCUGCGGUUACCAUGGCGACGGCGCACCGGCGCGCGGCAGCGCCACCCCGAGCGCGGCGGCUCCUGCUGCGCGCAAACGUCAAGGGUACAAGGUGCAGUGAAGCGAGAGGCCAAAGUCAUUGUCACCAACAAAAGGCGUUUCUUGAGACCUCACAAGCGCCAACUAUGGCAGGAGCGGAAGCAGUUUGGAAACUGUGUCUCUUUUGAUUCAGGAAUUUAAGAUCCAAAACAGUCGACCUUUAAAAAGGGGGAAAAGAGUGGAGGUGGGAUAGGAGCAUCGAAAGAAACCAGUAGAGAAGAGCAGGGGUUGAUGAGAGACGGUCAGCCUGAAUUGCCAGUAACCAUCUUGCCACUAUAUGGAGAGAGCUUGACAGAGCAACGAAAGAGCCAAGAAAUGAAUCCUGAGGCCAUUCCUUGAGCCCUGGAGCUAGAAAUACCCAAAGCCAUUUUUUACCCCCCUUUUUCAAUUG